CCUGGGCCUGUGGGGAGAAGAGGACAUCUACGAGCAGAUUGCAUGGGAUGCAGGAGAAGGCAUAUGAGAGAGAGCAGCAGCAGUGCUACAUGAAAGCAAAGGAACUGCGGCAGGCAUAUCAGAAGGCCAGGGAGGCCAACAGUUGGUCCAGUCUGAGCUGCAGACCUGCAGCUUUUACAAAGAGCUGCAUGCCUACUUGGCAGAGACCCCACCGCCACUCUGCACAACCACCAUGGAUCUCUCCGAGAAGCCCAAGUCACAGGCCCCUAGUUUGAACAGCGAAGAAGAGGAGGAGGAUGGGGGACAUGUGACUGAUGGGUCCGGCUGCACUGCGAGCCAGGACCUGUUUGAGACUCCACUGCAAUCCAGUCAGUCCUGGCAGUAGAGCAUGGACAAGCCCAGAGCAGGGGAAGGAACCUCAGUUGCUGCUGUUGUGGCUGUGAGAGAUUGCUCUUCCAUACCUGCCAAAUGCUGAGCCAGAUAAAGAGGAGAAAGAAGAGAACUCAGGAUGACAUGUUCAGCGAGAUCAUGUAAGCCAGUGCUGCAACAGACCGGGAGCAAAGGCCCUGGAGGGUGAAUAUUGCAGACUGUAUGGAGGAGGACAGAGCAGACAGAAAAAAGGUGGAGAAAAAGGAGAGGAAAAUGCACCAGGACACAAUGGAGCAUCUCCGGCAGCACACACAGAUGUUGCAGACUCUCAUGGACCUAAAGGUUCAAUAGUCAUGGGCUCGCUUCCCUAUGCAGUCCAGGGAUAACUCCAUUACAGCACUUCUCUAUAUUCCCCUCAACAUUCCACGUGGCAUCAGGGACCCACAUCUCUACUCUGACCACUCCAUGUCAGGGGACAUUAAAAACAGCUACACUUUCACAUGCACUGACCUGUGAAAGACAUGGUUGCUGUAUGUGUAGCUAAAAUGGAUGUGAAUGUUCCUUCCCCUUGUAAAGUUCUGUUCCAUAAAUUUAGUCAGUUUUUAAUGUUUUUGCUUUUAAA